CCUACGGGAGGCAGCAGUGAGGCAUAUUGGUCAAUGGGCGGACGCCUGAACCAGCCAAGUAGCGUGCAGGAUGACGGCCCUACGGGUUGUAAACUGCUUUUAUACGGGAAUAACGCGCCUUACUUGUAGGGCUUUUCAUGUACCGUCUUAAUAAGGACCGGCUAAUUCCGUGCCAUCAGCCGCGGUAAUACGGAAGGUCCGGGCGUUCGCCGGAUUUAUUGUGUUUAAAGGGAUCGUAGGCCGCAUGUCAAGCGUGCUGUGAAAUGUCCGGGCUCAACCCGGGCCUUGCAGCGCGAACUGGCGUGCUUGAGUCCGCGGAAAGCAGGCGGAAUUCGUCGUGUAGCGGUGAAAUGCUUAGAUAUGACGAAGAACCCCGAUUGCGAAGGCAGCUUGCUGCAGCGGAACUGACGCUGAUGCUCGAAAGCGCGGGUAUCGAACAGGAUUAGAUACCCUGGUAGUC
rnacentral:rRNA from 1 species